UCCGCACCCACACACACAC
rnacentral:miRNA from 1 species